rnacentral:lncRNA from 1 species
UGAAGUGCUAAUACAGUGGGCGAACCUACCAAUAGAAGAUGCCACUUGGGAGAACUAUGACGACUUGAAGAUCAAAUUCCUAGAAUUCACGAAUCAUCGGCCUCGAGGACAAGGUUGAUUUGAAGAGGGCGGGUCUGUUAGGACUCUAGCUUGGAGAGUCCUAAUUGAGAGGGACAUUCAUGUAAAACUGUUAGGACUCUAGCUAGGAGAGUCCUAAUUGAGAG